rnacentral:misc_RNA from 1 species
GCUGCAAUACCUGUUAUUGCAGGUAGAAAAUCGAGGGUGGAGACGUUUGCCGGUGCUUCAACAACCUAUACAAUUGAAGCAAUGAUGGGAGACAGGAAGGCUUUACAGGCAGGCACAAGCCACAACCUUGGUCAGAACUUCUCCCGUGCAUUUGGAACACAGUUCACAGAUGAAAAUGGGCAACGGCAACAUGUCUGGCAGACAUCAUGGGCAAUAAGCACUCGUUUUGUGGGAGGUAUCAUCAUGACACAUGGGGAUGAUGCUGGCUUACUGCUACCCCCAAGGCUGGCACCUGUGCAGGUCAUUAUUGUCCCAAUAUGGAAGAAGGACAAUGAGAAGGCAGGAGUUCUGACUGCUUCAUCCUCUGUGAAAGAAUCUUUACAAGCUGCAGGGAUAAAAGUGAAGAUUGAUGACUCUGAUCAGAGAACACCUGGCUGGAAAUUCAACUACUAUGAAAUGAAGGGAGUCCCUUUGAGGAUUGAAAUUGGCCCGCGAGAUGUUUCAAGUGGAACCCUGGUCAUUUCUAGAAGAGAUGUUCCUGGAAAGCAAGGG